GAGUCCUUAGGAUGCUUGUUAGAGUUGUCAUGGAAUGAACAGAAGUCACUGUCAUUGAAAGGGGCAACCCGUAAAUUCCUAGAAGAUGGUGAUGAAGUUAUCAUCACUGGUUUUUGCAAGGGAGAUGAAUACAACAUUGGGUUCGGCACUUGCUCGGGGAAGAUCGUUCCUCCAUUGCCUUGAUGAUGUUAUCGCCAAGUGUUGGAUGCUUCAGUUUCUCUUGUCAAUAGAUUUAGGAAUCGCUUUCUACAUGACUGUGCCGAAUGAACUGUUGCCUAAUUGAUAUUUCAAACCGAAUUUGAUAAA